rnacentral:misc_RNA from 1 species
GAAAUGCGAUAAGUAGUGUGAAUUGCAGAAUUCAGUGAAUCAUCGAAUCUUUGAACGCACAUUGCGCCCCUUGGUAUUCCAUGGGGCAUGCCUGUUCGAGCGUCAUUUGUACCUUCAAGCUUUGCUUGGUGUUGGGUGUUUGUCUCGCCUCCGCGCGUAGACUCGCCUCAAAACAAUUGGCAGCCGGCGUAUUGUUUUCGGAGCGCAGUACAUCUCGCGCUUUGCACUCAUAACGACGACGUCCAAAAGUACAUUUUUACACUCUUGACCUCGGAUCAGGUAGGGAUACCCGCUGAACUUAAGC